GAUGAACGCUGGCGGCGUGCCUAAUACAUGCAAGUCGAGCGAACAGACGAGGAGCUUGCUCCUCUGACGUUAGCGGCGGACGGGUGAGUAACACGUGGAUAACCUACCUAUAAGACUGGGAUCACUUCGGGAAACCGGAGCUAAUACCGGAUAAUAUAUUGAACCGCAGGGUUCAAUAGUGAAAGACGGUUUUGCUGUCACUUAUAGAUGGAUCCGCGCCGCAUUAGCUAGUUGGUAAGGUAACGGCUUACCAAGGCAACGAUGCGUAGCCGACCUGAGAGGGUGAUCGGCCACACUGGAACUGAGACACGGUCCAGACUCCUACGGGAGGCAGCAGUAGGGAAUCUUCCGCAAUGGGCGAAAGCCUGACGGAGCAACGCCGCGUGAGUGAUGAAGGUCUUCGGAUCGUAAAACUCUGUUAUUAGGGAAGAACAAAUGUGUAAGUAACUAUGCACGUCUUGACGGUACCUAAUCAGAAAGCCACGGCUAACUACGUG
rnacentral:rRNA from 1 species